rnacentral:rRNA from 1 species
AUGAACGCUGGCGGCGUGCCUAAUACAUGCAAGUCGAGCGAACAGAUGAGGAGCUUGCUCCUCUGACGUUAGCGGCGGACGGGUGAGUAACACGUGGAGAACCUACCUAUAAGACUGGGAUAACUUCGGGAAACCGGAGCUAAUACCGGAUAAUAUAUUGAACCGCAUGGUUCAAUAGUGAAAGACGGUUUUGCUGUCACUUAUAGAUGGAUCCGCGCCGCAUUAGCUAGUUGGUAAGGUAACGGCUUACCAAGGCGACGAUGCGUAGCCGACCUGAGAGGGUGAUCGGCCACACUGGAACUGAGACACGGUCCAGACUCCUACGGGAGGCAGCAGUAGGGAAUCUUCCGCAAUGGGCGAAAGCUUGACGGAGCAACGCCGCGUGAGUGAUGAAGGUCUUCGGAUCGUAAAACUCUGUUAUUAGGGAAGAACAAAUGUGUAAGUAACUAUGCACGUCUUGACGGUACCUAAUCAGAAAGCCACGGCUAACUACGUG